AUUGAACGCUGGCGGCAGGCCUAACACAUGCAAGUCGAGCGGAUGAAGGGAGCUUGCUCCUGGAUUCAGCGGCGGACGGGUGAGUAAUGCCUAGGAAUCUGCCUGGUAGUGGGGGAUAACGUCCGGAAACGGGCGCUAAUACCGCCUACGUCCUGAGGGAGAAAGUGGGGGAUCUUCGGACCUCACGCUAUCAGAUGAGCCUAGGUCGGAUUAGCUAGUUGGUGGGGUAACGGCCUACUAAGGCGACGCUCCGUAACUGGUCUGAGAGGAUGGUCAGUCGAAAGGGAGGGGGGACAGGGUCCAGGGGCCUGAGGGAGGACGCAGGGGGGAAUAGUAGGCAAUGGGGGGAAGCCUGAUCCAGCCAGGCCGGGUGUGGUAAGAAGGGGUUCGGAGGGGAAAGCGCGUUAAGGUGGGGGGAAGGGCAGUAAGUUAAGACCUUGCGGGUGUGACGUUACCGGCAGAAUAAGCACCGGCUAACUUCGUG
rnacentral:rRNA from 1 species